GAUGCAUACAUUCUUUUGUGAAUUAUUUGAUUGAACUGCUAACAACAAUAGCCCGCCGACAUACCGCAGUUAUAUGUGAACCAGACUUAAUGGUCUUUUAUUAUUCUUAAAAAUAAUUAAUAAUUCAUGAGGAAAAGACAAACCACUACCGUGUCGGUGGUUUUAUAUGUGAUAAAAAACGUCCUUGAGUUUUACAAGUGCAUGUUUUACAAGUGCAUGUUUUACAAGUCCAUG